ACGGAAAGACCCCAUGAACCUUUACUGCAGCUUUGCAUUGGACUUUGAACCGGUCUGUGUAGGAUAGGUGGGAGGCUGUGAAGCGUGGACGCCAGUCUGCGUGGAGCCGACCUUGAAAUACCACCCUGGCUUGUUUGAGGUUCUAACCCAGGUCCGUGAAUCCGGAUCGGGGACAGUGCAUGGCAGGCAGUUUGACUGGGGCG
rnacentral:rRNA from 1 species